AUUGAACGCUGGCGGCAGGCUUAACACAUGCAAGUCGAGCGAGCGGCGGACGGGUGAGUAAUGUCUGGGAAAGUGACUGAUGGAGGGGGAUAACUACGGGAAACGGUAGCUAAUACCGAAUACAAGCAGAAGUGCCCACAUGUGAUUAGCUAGUAGGAGGGGUAAUGGCUCACCUAGGCGACGAUCCCUAGCUGGUAUGAGAGGAUGACCAGCCCCUCUGGACAUGAGCCACGGGCCAGACUCCUACGGUAUGCAGCAGUGGGGAAUAUUGCACAAUGGGCGCAAGCCUGAUGCAGCCAUGCCGCGUGUGUGAAGAAGGCCUUCGGGUUGGAAAGCACUGUCAGCGAGGAGGCUUUACUCGCAGAAGAAGCACCGGCUAACUCCGUGCCAGCAGCCGCGGUAAUUC
rnacentral:rRNA from 1 species